ACAUCACUGCUGCAUUCUCUAAAACAGAGAUUCAGAGGGAUCAUUGCCCAGCAGUUCACUUUCUCUGAAUGAGGAGUUCCCCUAUCAGUGAUUGAAGAGGCAGACCCAUGGGGUUACAUUCUUGCAAACCUUGCAACUCCUGCCUGCAAAGUAAGGAGGACUGCAGAGCGGCUGGUGGCUGCUCGUAUGUGUGUGACCACUGGAGAUAUUGCUCUGAACAAUGCUGUGACAUCUGCUGCCAGAUGUGUGUGGACGUGUGCUCUGGCUUAUGUUCAGGAGACUGCAGCUACACCUUCUGUACUCUCUGCCUCGGCAUGGCACAGAACUGUAUCUCCUUUUUUACCACCCAGAAAACUGAAUCAUCAGAGUCACAACAGGCUAUGAUGGAUCCAGUACAGCGUGCCUUUUGAACUUGACGGACCAGUGACCAAACCCAAAAUGUGGAUUGAUUUGAAAA